rnacentral:rRNA from 1 species
AUGGAGGCGAACGGGCGCGGCGGGGACAAUGACGCCGCGCGGGCGCCGCUCCUGGCGGGGCGGCGGUGGAACUCGGUGGGGUCGAUGCGCGGGGAGUUCGUGUCGCGGCUCCCCAAGAAGGUGCUCGACGCCGUCGACCCGGAGAGGCCCUCCCACGUCGACUUCUCCCGCUCCAAGGGCCUCCUGGAAGGAGAGAAAGAAUACUACGAGAAACAAUUUGCCACCUUGAGAUCCUUUGAGGAAGUUGACUCUAUAGAAGAAUCCAAUGUAAUAAGUGAAGAAGAGGAGCUCAUGGAGCAAAGGCAGAGUGAAUUUGCUAUGAAGAUAUCAAAUUAUGCAAAUGUUGUUCUCUUGGCAUUGAAGAUAUAUGCCACAGUUAAAAGUGGGUCAAUUGCUAUUGCUGCAUCAACACUUGAUUCAUUGCUCGACCUCAUGGCUGGUGGUAUCCUUUGGUUCACACAUCUCUCAAUGAAGAGCAUCAACGUCUACAAGUAUCCCAUUGGUAAAUUGAGGGUACAACCAGUAGGCAUUAUCAUCUUCGCAGCUGUUAUGGCUACUUUAGGAUUCCAAGUAUUUCUUCAAGCAGUUGAAAAGCUGGUAGUGAACGUGACUCCAGAUAAAUUGUCCCCACCACAACUCAUGUGGCUAUAUUCAAUCAUGAUCUUUGCAACAGUAGUUAAGCUAGCCCUGUGGUUCUACUGCCGGACCUCUGGUAACAACAUAGUCCGCGCCUAUGCUAAGGAUCAUUAUUUUGAUGUGGUCACGAAUGUCGUUGGUUUGGCUGCUGCUGUUCUCGGUGACAUGUUUUACUGGUGGAUUGACCCAGUUGGUGCAAUCGUCCUUGCAGUCUAUACAAUUACAAACUGGUCUGGAACAGUGUGGGAAAAUGCAGUAUCGCUAGUAGGUGAAUCAGCUCCCCCAGAAAUGCUGCAGAAGUUGACAUACCUAGCUAUCAGACAUGACCCUCAAAUUAAGCGUGUUGAUACAGUUCGGGCAUACACCUUUGGGGUGCUUUACUUUGUGGAGGUCGAUAUUGAGCUCCCGGAGGACUUGCCACUCAAGGAGGCGCAUGCCAUUGGAGAAUCACUCCAGAUAAAGAUCGAGGAACUUCCAGAAGUCGAGCGGGCAUUCGUUCACCUUGAUUUCGAGUGUGACCACAAGCCAGAGCACUCGAUCCUCAGCAAGCUUCCUAGCAGCCAGCCUUGA